rnacentral:rRNA from 1 species
UACGUAGGCAGCAAGCGUUGUUCGGAGUUACUGGGCGUAAAGGGUGUGUAGGCGGUUCUCUAAGUUUGGUGUGAAAUCUCCCGGCUUAACCGGGAGGGUGCGUCGGAAACUGGGGAGCUAGAGUGCGGGAUGGGUAAGUGGAAUUCCUGGUGUAGCGGUGAAAUGCGUAGAUAUCAGGAGGAACACCAGUGGCGAAGGCGGGUCUCUGGGCAGUAACUGACGCUGAGGAGCGAAAGCGUGGGGAGCGAACAGG